rnacentral:ncRNA from 1 species
GCUGAUGCCGUGUUCCGCUGACCGCCGUCAGCAACAUGCCCAGGUAGCCAUGAUCCUCAAGGCUACGACGCGGUUCCGACCGCGUUGAUCACACCAGUUCGCACCGGCAUCCAUGCGCGAACGGCCAUCGGUUCUCGAUGGCGA